rnacentral:rRNA from 1 species
UUGAACGCUGGCGGCAUGCUUUACACAUGCAAGUCGAACGGUAACAGGCCUUCGGGUGCUGACGAGUGGCGAACGGGUGAGUAAUGCAUCGGAACGUACCCAGAGGUGGGGGAUAACGCAGCGAAAGCUGUGCUAAUACUGCAUGUGAUCUGAGGAUGAAAGCGGGGGACCGAGCAGCAAUGUUUGGCCUCGCGCCUUUGGAGCGGCCGAUGUCGGAUUAGCUAGUUGGUGGGGUAAAGGCCUACCAAGGCGACGAUCCGUAGCUGGUCUGAGAGGACGACCAGCCACACUGGGACUGAGACACGGCCCAGACUCCUACGGGGGGCAGCAGUGGGGAAUUUUGGACAAUGGGCGCAAGCCUGAUCCAGCAAUGCCGCGUGCGGGAAGAAGGCCUUCGGGUUGUAAACCGCUUUUGGCAGGAACGAAACGGUGUCCGCUAAUACCGGGCGCUAAUGACGGUACCUGCAGAAUAAGCACCGGCUAACUACG